rnacentral:rRNA from 1 species
AGAGCGAACGCUGGCGGCAGGCCUAACACAUGCAAGUCGAACGGACCCUUCGGGGUUAGUGGCGGACGGGUGAGUAACACGUGGGAACGUGCCUUUAGGUUCGGAAUAGCUCCUGGAAACGGGUGGUAGUGCCGAAUGUGCCCUUCGGGGGAAAGAUUUAUCGCCUUUAGAGCGGCCCGCGUCUGAUUAGCUUGUUGGUGAGGUAAUGGCUCACCAAGGCUACGAUCAGUAGCUGGUCUGAGAGGAUGACCAGCCACAUUGGGACUGAGACACGGCCCAAACUCCUACGGGAGGCAGCAGUGGGGAAUCUUGCGCAAUGGGCGAAAGCCUGACGCAGCCAUGCCGCGUGUAUGAUGAAGGUCUUAGGAUUAGUAAAAAUACUUUCAACCGGUGAAAGAUAAUGAACUGUAAGCCGGAGAAGAAAGCCCCGGAUAACUUCGUGACCAGCAGCCGC